UACAGAGGUGGCAAGCGUUGUUCGGAAUUACUGGGCGUAAAGGGCGCGUAGGCGGUUCGAUAAGUCCCGUGUGAAAUCCCUCGGCUCAACUGAGGAAUGGCACGGGAAACUGACGGGCUUGAGUUCGGGAGAGAGAAGCGGAAUUCCGGGUGUAGCGGUGAAAUGCGUAGAUAUCCGGAGGAACACCGGUGGCGAAGGCGGCUUCCUGGACCGACACUGACGCUGAGGCGCGAAAGCUAGGGGAGCAAACGGG
rnacentral:rRNA from 1 species